GCUAAAACAAUCUCAGGAGGGGGUAUCGCACUAAAGAUGUUUGCUACUUUCACAGGAUUUCAGGCUCAGGUUGUAAAACAACAAAGUGGAAUUUUAGCUGAACUCCAGAAAUUAAUUAGUUUCAUUAGUUGGUGGAUAAAUGGAGAUGGCUGGUGUGUUGGAUUCCAGCAGAGUUUCACCAUAGAGGGUUAAUGGGAGUCUGGCCUGGAAGCUUUCCCAGCUCUGGCCCAAGGCCACUUCAGCCAAUCACUCUAAACUCAUGGUCUAGUUGCACUGAGCUGCUGUUUUACACUUUUGCUUCCCCUCUGCCACAGCUAUAAGUUCAUUCAAAGCUGGAAAACAAUUGAGGAAUGGAGAAUUGAACGUUUUUCGGAGUGCCGGGGUUACCAAAGCUGCAUUUGUGUUGCAAAUACCUCCCCGCUGAGAAAUGCUUAUAAUAGGAGAAAUCAGUUGGACAGCAGUGAGGUUCAUGCCAGCGAACAACUGAAAGAAACCUGGCAACUAGGGGAAAAACACUCUCAAGUCCAUCCUGUCGAACAAAAGGCGGUCGACGCAUUGUGCAAAGAUGCAACGAGUUCUGCGUCCCAGGCACAUGACGUGCAUCAUGGAAACAUAUUGUAUCGAAAUCGUUUGUGGGAGAAUACCGGGGAUGAAAAAGAAUGGGGCGCUUUGAUCCGCGCCCUGGGGUCUCGAGCUCCCCGAGUGCGCGCAGACUGACUGCAAUGCCUUAUUCACUUUCAGAUAGACACACUUACAAACGCCACUGAAUGAAAUUUGCAUAUUUGUAAUUUAUCACAUUUUAGCCCGAGUUUUCCGUCUCUUUGCGGAAGGUAGAAGUCUGAAUAAAAAACUGGAUCAAUUAUCAACGCGAAGCUGUUCCCUUCUCAUAGGCAGAACGCUGGCUGGGAAAAUUAUAAAAGUAGUUGCUGUUAGGAAAAAAAAAAAAAAAAAGGAAAACUGCAAACAGUGAAAAAAUCGAACCUUUUAAGCCAAAUUGUACUUUUCAUUUUUGUUAUGUAAAAAAAAAAUAAAGAAAAAAAAUUAUGCUACAAAAAUUAUUAACACAAAGUAUUUGCAUAAUUUGCACGAUUCGAUCGUUUAUUUGUGGAACUGUUUCAUGCCUUGCGGAAUGGAGUGUAUUGAUAUGUUAACCGAAUUUUUCAAAUUUCUAAGCCCUUAUUCCUUGAAGAAUUAUCAGAGUAUGAGCAUUUCCUUGGCCAUGGGCUCGAACAAAAGCAGAAAACAUUAAUAAAAGUAUGGGACCCAGGCACUGAAAUGAAGUGACAGGCAGGGUCUGGAUAUCUUAGCACUGACACAAAACCGCAUACGGUAACUACAUGCCUGCCUUGAAAUACGAGAGUUUGAAUAAAGGAGCAGUAAUAUUUCAUAUGGGGCACGCAAAAGCUGGAUACAAUGCCUCUCAUAUUAAGAACAAUAUUCAGUCCAUUCUGUGGCGAACAAAGAUCAUAGCAAGACGUCUUUGAGGCUAAUUCAGUCAAAGGCACAUUUUGGCUUCCCCCGCGGUAAGGUCAGUGUCGUUGU